ACCUUGCUGACGAGUGCUAAGUAGCACGAAACCCGGGUUCAAGGU
rnacentral:hammerhead_ribozyme from 1 species